rnacentral:rRNA from 1 species
GAUGAACGCUGGCGGCGUGCCUAAUACAUGCAAGUCGAGCGAACAGACGAGGAGCUUGCUCCUCUGACGUUAGCGGCGGACGGGUGAGUAACACGUGGAUAACCUACCUAUAAGACUGGGAUAACUUCGGGAAACCGGAGCUAAUACCGGAUAAUAUAUUGAACCGCAUGGUUCAAUAGUGAAAGACGGUUUUGCUGUCACUUAUAGAUGGAUCCGCGCCGCAUUAGCUAGUUGGUAAGGUAACGGCUUACCAAGGCAACGAUGCGUAGCCGACCUGAGAGGGUGAUCCGCCACACUGGAACUGAGACACGGUCCAGACUCCUACGGGAGGCAGCAGUAGGGAAUCUUCCGCAAUGGGCGAAAGCCUGACGGAGCAACGCCGCGUGGGUGAUGAAGGGCUUCGGGUCGUAAAACUCUUUUAUUAGGGAAGAAAAAAAGUGGAAGUAACCAAGCACGUUUUGACGGUACCCAAACAAAAAGCCACGGCUAACUUCGUG